rnacentral:rRNA from 1 species
UUUCCGGUUGAUCCUGCCGGACCCGACUGCUAUCAGAGUGGGACUAAGCCAUGCGAGUCAACGUAGUAAUACGUGGCGAACGGCUCAGUAACACGUAGUCAACAUGCCCAGAGGACGUGGAUAACCUCGGGAAACUGAGGAUAAACCGCGAUAGGCCAUAAUUUCUGGAAUGGUUUAUGGCUGAAAUCUAUAUGGCCUCUGGAUUGGACUGCGGCCGAUCUGGCUGUUGGUGAGGUAAUGGCCCACCAAACCUGUAACCGGUACGGGCUCUGAGAGGAGGAGCCCGGAGAUGGGCACUGAGACAAGGGCCCAGGCCCUAUGGGGCGCAGCAGGCGCGAAACCUCUGCAAUAGGCGAAAGCCUGACAGGGUUACUCUGAGUGAUUUCCGUUAAGGAGAUCUUUUGGCACCUCUAAAAAUGGUGCAGAAUAAGGGGUGGGCAAGUCUGGUGUCAGCCGCCGCGGUAAUACCAGCACCCCGAGUGGUCGGGACGUUUAUUGGGCCUAAAGCAUCCGUAGCCGGUUCUGCAAGUCUUCCGUUAAAUCCACCUGCUUAACAGAUGGGCCGCGGAAGAUACUAUAGAGCUAGGAGGCGGGAGAGGCAAGCGGUACUCGAUGGGUAGGGGUAAAAUCCGUUGAUCCACUGAAGACCACCAGUGGCGAAGGCGGCUUGCCAGAACGCGCUCGACGGUGAGGGAUGAAAGCUGGGGGAGCAAACCGGAUUAGAUACCCGGGUAGUCCCAGCUGUAAACGAUGCAGACUCGGUGAUGAAUUGGCUUCAUGCCAAUUCAGUGCCGCAGGGAAGCCGUUAAGUUUGCCGCCUGGGGAGUACGGUCGCAAGACUGAAACUUAAAGGAAUUGGCGGGA